rnacentral:rRNA from 1 species
GACGAACGCUGGCGGCGUGCUUAACACAUGCAAGUCGAACGGUGAAGCGCCUUCCUUUUUGGUGGGUGUGGAUGAGUGGCGAACGGGUGAGUAACACGUGAGUAACCUGCCCCCUUCUUCUGGAUAACCGCAUGAAAGUGUGGCUAAUACGGGAUAUUCUGUGUCUGUCGCAUGAUGGGUCUGGGAAAGAUAUUGUUUCGGUGGGGGAUGGGCUCGCGGCCUAUCAGCUUGUUGGUGGGGUGAUGGCCUACCAAGGCGGUGACGGGUAGCCGGCCUGAGAGGGUGGACGGUCACACUGGGACGGAGACACGGCCCAGACUACUACGGGAGGCAGCAGGGGGGAAUAGUGCACAAUGGGCGCAAGCCUGAUGCAGCGACGCCGCGUGAGGGAUGGAGGCCUUCGGGUUGUGAACCUCUUUCGCCAGUGAAGCAGGCCUGCCUCGUCUGUGGGUGGGUUGACGGUAGCUGGAUAAGAAGCGCCGGCUAACUACGUG